rnacentral:tRNA from 1 species
GCCUAGCUGGCUCAGUCGGUUGAGCAUGUGACUUGUGAUCUCGCUGAUGCGAGUUGGAGCCUCACAUUGGGUG